rnacentral:tRNA from 1 species
UACUAUAUAGUUUAAAAUCCAAAACACUAAUUUUGUAAAUUAGAAUUAAAUCAAAUAAAUGAUUUUAUAGUAA